rnacentral:rRNA from 1 species
AUGGCCAUUGUGGAUAUCGCCCAUGCCCUCCUUCCCUCGGUCCCCCGUCGACAGCGCAAGCGCUCCUUGGCAGAUGGGCUCCAGGACCGUUGCUGGAUCGCGGACCUACAUGGCGCGCUUACGCCCACUGUGCUGGUGGAGUACGUCCAGCUCUGGACAAGGCUCCGCCACCUUCACCUCUCCGCCUUCCCCGACCGUCUCAUUUGGCACUGGACCGCGGAUGGGAAGUACUCCGCCAGGUCAUGCUACCAGGCCCUCUUUGUUGGAUCCACGCCCUCUCCCUUCUAGCGCCUCACCUGGAAGUGUUGGGCCCCCCGCGUCAAGAUGUUUACCUGGGUGGCCGACCUCGAUUGCUGCUGGACUGCCGCUAGGCUGGCUCGCCACGGUCUCCCUCACAACGACAGAUGUGUUCUUUGCGACCAGGACGCCGAGACCAUGCAGCAUAUUAUCAUUGCCUGCCCCUUCUCCAGGCAGAUUCGGCAUGAUGUCAUGUCUUGGGUGCGCGCCACCGUCCUCCUUCAUCUGGUUCCGAGGAGUUCCUCCAAUGGUGCUCCUCGAUGA